AAGGCCGUCUCUGUUCCUCCUUAAAAUUAUGCCAUCUGCAGCCGACAUAAUUUUCUUGGCAGAAACAGACACCCCUUCCAUCACUCCCACUCUAGGAGUUAAACAACUCAAUCGCCGACUUUCGCAAUAAAUCACGCCUCUCACGUCUUAACUUCCUAAGGUCUGCCAAGCCUAGGGUUUUUAGGUCCCAACAAUCUAAUUCUAAGCUCUGAUACCAACUUAAUCUGUCACACCCCGGAUUACCACGUUUUCUCAGGCACGCCAACAAACUCGUUGUAUAUAUAGAAAUUUUUCGUGUAUACAAAACGAUAGCUGUACCUGUAAGCA
rnacentral:lncRNA from 1 species